UUCAGAUGGGACCUUUGGUCGCACAUUAACAAAUUUUUGUUUUCUUUAUUAAAAGUAUGUUUUUAACUAAAAUUAAAUGAAGACAACACUCAAGAGUCGCCAAGAGCAAGCUAGUCCGCUAAUCAAUCAAGUUAGCAGGCGGAACUUUGAUUAUGACUUGGCGGAGCUCUUUAUCAUCGGAUUCCUGCCCAAGCACGACAUCGAUCCCAACACAAACAAGAGGGGUUACCUUCGUUUGUGAACUGCCGGUUGAUGAAGGAAAUGACUUCAGUGGAAUCUUUGAUUGCGAAUCGCAUAUCGUACUGCUGCCAACCUCCCAUACGGCAGAUUCCAGGCAACCCAAAUUCCCGCGCUAGCCGACGCUGUGCCCUUUCGUUAUUAAGAUCACAUCCCAUGGAUUAUUUGCUUAGGCUGGGCCAGCCGACUGUGCAAGCGCAUCGAAAAGGAAUUAGUGAUCAACAAUCAACUAAAUAACUGAACGUUUGCCGCGACAAGUACCGUGAGAAAUUUUAUUAAACGGAACUCGCUCUCCUUA